rnacentral:tRNA from 1 species
GCGCUUAUAGCUCAAUGGAUAGAGCAAGGGUUUCCUAAACCUUAGAUGCAGGUUCGAUUCCUACUAAGCGCA